rnacentral:rRNA from 1 species
CCCUACUGCUAUCGGGAUAGGAUUAAGCCAUGCGAGUUGUGCGCCUUCGAGCUAUGGCGGAGGCGCGGCAUACGGCUCAGUAACACGUGGCUAACCUACCCUUAGGACGGAGACAACCCCGGGAAACUGGGGCUAAUCCCCGAUGGGCGAGGAGGCCUGGAAUGGUUCCUCGCCGAAAGGGCGCUGAAACCAUGCUUUUCGGCGUUGCCUAAGGAUGGGGCCGCGGCCGAUCAGGUUGUUGGUGGGGUAACGGCUCACCAAGCCUUUGACCGGUACGGCCGUGAGAGCGGGAGCCUGGAGAUGGGCACUGAGACAAGGGCCCAGGCCCUACGGGGUGCAGCAGGCGCGAAAACUCCGCAAUGCGCGAAAGCGUGACGGGGCUAUCCCGAGUGCCGUCCGCUGAGGAUGGCUUUUCCCCGGUGUAAGGAGCCGUGGGAAUAAGGAGAGGGCAAGCCUGGUGUCAGCCGCCGCGGUAAUACCAGCUCUCCGAGUGGUAGGGAUGUUUAUUGGGCUUAAAGCGUCCGUAGCCGGCUCGGUAGGUCUCUCGUUAAAUCCAGCGACCUAAUCGUUGGACUGCGGGAGAUACUGUCGGGCUAGGAGGCGGGGAAGCCGAUGGUAUUCCCGGGGUAGGGGUGAAAUCCUAUAAUCCCGGGAGGACCACCAGUGGCGAAGGCGGUCGGCUAGAACGCGCUCGACGGUGAUGGACGAAAGCUGGGGGAGCGAACCGGAUUAGAUACCCGGGUAGUCCCAGCCGUAAACGAUGCGGGCUAGGUGUUGGGGAGGCUACGAGCCUCUUCAGUGCCGCAGCGAAAACGUUAAGCCCGCCGCCUGGGGAGUACGGCCGCAAGGCUGAAACUUAA